AUUGAACGCUGGCGGCAGGCCUAACACAUGCAAGUCGAACGAGUGGCGGACGGGUGAGUAAUGUCUGGGAAACUGCCCGAUGGAGGGGGAUAACUACUGGAAACGGUAGCUAAUACCGCAUACCAUCGGAUGUGCCCAGAUGGGAUUAGCUAGUAGGUGGGGUAACGGCUAACCUAGGCGACGAUCCCUAGCUGGUCUGAGAGGAUGACCAGCAACACUGGAACUGGGACACGGCCCAGACUCCUACGGGGGGCAGAAGUGGGGAAUAUUGGACAAUGGGCGAAAGCCUGAUGCAGCAAUGCGGCGUGUAUGAAGAAGGCCUUCGGGUUGUAAAGUACUUUCAGCGAGGAGGCGUUACUCGAAGAAGAAGCACCGGCUAACUCCGUGCCAGCAGCCGCGGUAAUUC
rnacentral:rRNA from 1 species